GACCUGGUGGUGAAAUGUAUCACACCUAUUCCACUUCUGAUUUGAGAUGUAGCAGAUUUUGUGGGAGUCUCCGGUUCGAAUCCAGGCCAGGUCA